CUACUGGGGUAUCUAAUCCUGUUUGCUCCCCACGCUUUCGAGCCUCAGCGUCAGUAACGGACCAGUAUGUCGCCUUCGCCACUGGUGUUCUUCCGAAUAUCUACGAAUUUCACCUCUACACUCGGAGUUCCACAUACCUCUUCCGUACUCAAGACUGCCAGUAUCAAAGGCAAUUCCAAGGUUGAGCCCUGGGCUUUCACCUCUAACUUAACAGUCCGCCUACGCUCCCUUUACGCCCAGUAAUUCCGAGCAACGCUAGCCCCCUUCGUAUUACCGCGGCUGCUGGCAC
rnacentral:rRNA from 1 species